GUCAUUGCUAGAGUUCAUUUUCAUCGUGGCGAUUGCUGGAAGAACACAACGAGACGUCGUCGAACACGGACGAGCGGGCCUGACCCUUUGCUGCCUGUGGAGAACAUGCGUCACCUGGUGCGGAUAAAAUCAUAUGGAGGCCACAAAAUAUUAUAUCAAGCAAAUUGUUGAGUAUCGAAUGGCCAAAUAUCGAGUGAAAAUUGAACACUGACUCACUUCACCGGGAAUCGCUCUGAAAAUAAUUUAAAAAGUCCUUGCAACUAGUGGUGCUCUGCACUCACACUACUUCACCAGGAAUCUUUCCAGAAACAUUUUACCAGAUCUUCUCAAUCCAACUAUUACUGCCCUGAAGCUAUUACAUGUGAAUGACUCGCAAGUGUUUUUUUUUAAUAACUGCCUAUAAUUAUGCAUGAUUAACUUAACUCUUAUUAACUCAAUAACAUGACUAACCUCACUAACUUAAUCAGUUAUUAUAAAUACCACUUGUUGAGUUUUACUAUGAAGGUUUUACUGAGAUUGCUUGGAAGACGGGGCUGAAUGAUUAAUCAGGGUAAACGACAACUACAAGCCAAGUGGUGAACUCUCAAGUUGCUCAUGAGUGAAAACAAUAAUUUCAUCUACUAAUUAUGCUGUCCGUCCGUCCGUCCGUCUUGUCACCAGAGAAGAUGCCUAC